rnacentral:rRNA from 1 species
CCUACGGGAGGCAGCAGUGGGGAAUAUUGCACAAUGGGGGAAACCCUGAUGCAGCGACGCCGCGUGAGUGAAGAAGUAUUUCGGUAUGUAAAGCUCUAUCAGCAGGGAAGAAGCAAGACGGUACCUGACUAGGAAGCCCCGGCUAACUACGUGCCAGCAGCCGCGGUAAUCCGUAGGGGGCAAGCGUUAUCCGGAUUUACUGGGUGUAAAGGGAGCGUAGACGGUAUGGUAAGUCUGAAGUGAAAGCCCAGGGCUUAACCCUGGGACUGCUUUGGAAACUGUUAGACUAGAGUGCUGGAGAGGUAAGCGGAAUUCCUAGUGUAGCGGUGAAAUGCGUAGAUAUUAGGAGGAACACCAGUGGCGAAGGCGGCUGACUGGACAGUAACUGACGUUGAGGCUCGAAAGCGUGGGGAGCAAACAGGAUUAGAUACCCUGGUAGUC